GUUAAACUUUGAUGGAGGUAUGUAUCGUGAUCCAUGCUGCACCCAGUGUUUUCACUUUUAAAAUUAGAUCUAAUGCAUGUUAGGCUGUAACCCGUAUUGUUUCAUAAGCAUUAUCGAUGUUGACACGUUAUGUGAUAGUGUUGCAGGGUUGUGUCUUGUAUUUAUAAUUUUAUGGACAUUUACAAAACUGUCACGUUGCGUUACGCUGAAGGGUAGCUAACGUUCGCCUUGUACUUUGCUAAUGAGGCUAGUCUUCUCGUGAAGUGUAAGUAUUUUUAUUUUAUGUUUCACGGCACUCAGAUUGCAUGGUGGGUUUACAGUUGUGCUGAAGUUCACACAGUGUUGUGUAUGUAUUCGCAGAUGGCCUAUUUGGGAUUGAAAUGUGGCUGUGAUGUGAAAGAGUGUGUGGAGGAUCAUGGCACACAUGACCUUUCAAAGACCAUGAACUGGAGGGGAAUGCCAACUGCAGCUGCCAACUGCAGCUCAAAGGGAUAGUUAAUUCUGCAGUGUGGAGAAACCGACUCGCGUCCAGUGCAACUAACAAAGAAGUGGGGGAAAAAGCUGUGUUUUUUGUUUUUUUCCCUUGGUUUGUGUGACCAACUUGCACCAAAUUUCCUGAAGAUGUUCAGGAAGAUAAACGCUGCUUCAGGUUGUCUGUACCUGCGGCCAGAGGGAAGGAUCUGGAUUUCGGAUUGGAGUGGAUGGGAAGAGUCAACCAAUACCAAUAUAAUACCAAAAAGUGUGCAUGCUAGCAACCAAGUUUUCAAGAUGGAGCACUUUCAGUCCAGAGCCAAAGGUAUGAUGAUGCAAAUUAGCAAAAUGAUCAUUGCGUAUAAUUAGCAUCAUUAUGCUUUUUGCUCUGUACUGCAAUCAUUGUCCUAUGACCCAAAGAAGUGUACUUUUUUGUUUCUGCCCUAACACCCCCACAUAUUAUUUAAAUUAAUAAACUCAUCAAGCCUUUGAAUUGAAUAAGGUAUGUGUACCAGAACAAAAUCUAAAAUGUGCCCUCCAUUGGGGCCAGGAUUGGGGAUCACUGCUGUACUGAAAGUUCUCUAUCUUUGGUCCCAGGAUGACAGCCCAAUUGAAAACCACAUUUUACAGCCUACUUACUGUAGGUCACACUUCACACCCAUUUGGGAAAACACCUGUGUCCCAUGCGGGUACUAAAAGUGUGGUAACCCACAUGGGGCGGCAGGGUAGCCUAGUGGUUAGAGUAUUGGACUAGUAACUGGAAGGUUGCAAGUUCAAAUCCCCGAGCUGACAAGGUACAAAUCUGUCGUUCUGCCCCUGAACAGGCAGUUAACCCACUGUUCCUAGGCCAUCAUUGAAAAUAAGAAUUUGUUCUUAACUGACUUGCCUAGAUAAAAAAAUAAAAACAAAAUGGCUUAACACUUGGGGCCAAUGUCAGAUAACCACAAGGAGCCCACACAGUUUUGUCCUUAGUGUCCACACUGGCCCCACAUAUGGUUGCCAUGUUGCGAUUUAUCUGGGUUCAUGUUGGGCUUCACAAUUUAUGGCAACCACGUAUGGGGACAACAUGUAUAAUGAGGAUUCAACUUUUUGGGGCCCUUGUGGUUUUCCUACAUGGGGGCCCAAAAUGUUUUUAAAAAUUACAAUCCCCCCUCACUCACACUUGUUACUGUCAAAUUCAACACAGCAAAAACAAUAUAUUUGGGCUACACUGCACAUUAUACACUUUCUGCCUGUGGACAUCUGUUCUACAAUGUGCCAGGGAAAGUGUGUGGUGUUCCUUUCCCCUUUACAGUGGCAUCCAGUUUAAGCCAGGCCCAGCUCCAGCUACACUUGAUCCCUGAAUCCACUUGUUUAACAAGCAACGCCUCAUUUUCACCUAACUCUCUCAUUCUGAAAAUGAACCACAUACUGUCGAGGGAAAACAUUAGUUUACAGAUAAUGGUUAGCUAGUUAACAUUUCACACAGAUUGCCAGGGUCCAGUAAGUAACUGAGUUAUAACUUGAACCAGCAAGGAGUUGUAUACCAGCUAAUACUAUAGCCAAUUGGUUAGGUUACUAAUGUUAGCUCAUCUGAUGUUGUAACAUUAGCUAGCUAACGUUAGCUGUCUGACUUUAUUAGCAAGCAAAUUUUCACACCAUAAACUCAAUUAUUUGAUCAGAUGAGUUGACUAUUGUUGCUCAAUUUCUCUGACUAGCUAAUGGAGAAUUCGAUCCAGCUAGCAAGAUACUUAACAAUGCUAAUACUUGUUCCUCCACACAUUUUCCCUCACAUCAAAUUUUCCAAAUGCCAGUUGUUUUUCAGUUACAGCUCAUGAAGUACUCUUCAUCACCUUCUCACCUAACGUUACCUCUUCAUUAUCGUUCAGCGAACGCGCUGCUGUAACUGCCUUUCUACUCUAUGCGGUCUUUCCAUGGUGCGCGCUGAUGCUGUAACUAACUAAGUGAUUUCUCAUCGGAUCUACACGAAUCACGUAGGCCACCUAUUUUGGACUCAAGACGGCAAAUUUCUAGACUAGUUUGCAGCCCUGGUGUCUGGGUGCCCUCAAUUUGCAGGGGGCAGACAAGUUUGCUGUCACUCAGUCAGCGGCAGGGUAGCGGUUAGAGCGUUGGAUUAGUAACCGGAACGUUGCAAGUUCAAAUCCCGAGCUGACAAGGUACAAAUCUGUCGUUCUGCCCCUGAACAGGCAGUUAACCCACUGUUCCUAGGCCGUCAUUGAAAAUAAGAAUUUGUUCUUAACUGACUUGCCUAGAUAAAUAUGGGUAAAAUUGCAAAGUUCAUAUUUUUUUCCCAUACCCUCACCCACUUGUUAGAUAUUAUGCACAUUGAUAGCUUGCUAGUCUAGCAAAAUGUCCUUGCCAUUUGAUUUAUAAUAGUAACAGGCUAACCAGUCUGGUUCCAGAGCAUUUCAUAUUAUUCAGAAAGUAAAUCAAAGAUUAUUCUGAAAUCCAAAUCCAAGAGGUUAAAGUUAUGGGGAAGGGUUAGCUAAAAUAGUUAGGGUGAGCUAAAAGUGUUAAGUUUAGGAUUAGCAAAGAUGCUAAGUAGUUGCAAAGUAACUAAAAAGUAGUAAGUAGGUGAAAAGGUGCAAAAGUGAUGAUAAGGUUAUAUGGGUUUAUGUUAGGCUUUUUGGUGGACCCCUGUGGGCAAAUGUGUGAUAACCCAUGUCAACCCCAGGUUUUAGCCCAUGUGGUUUAAAGGGUUCGUUGUCUCUUCCACGGGACAGUUGAGCUAACGUAGGCUAAUGCGAUUUAGCAUGAGGUUGUAAGUAUCAAGAACAUUUCCCAGGACAUAGACAUAUCUGAU